GCUGCUCCUAGUACGAGAGGACCGGAGUGGACGCAUCACUGGUGUUCGGGUUGUCAUGCCAAUGGCACUGCCCGGUAGCUAAAUGCGGAAGAGAUAAGUGCUGAAAGCAUCUAAGCACGAAACUUGCCCCGAGAUGAGUUCUCCCUGACUCCUUGAGAGUCCUGAAGGAACGUUGAAGACGACGACGUUGAUAGGCCGGGUGUGUAAGCGCAGCGAUGCGUUGAGCUAACCGGUACUAAUGAACCGUGAGGCUUAACCUUACAACGCCGAAGGUGUUU
rnacentral:rRNA from 2 species